rnacentral:lncRNA from 1 species
GCGAGGUGCCCGAGCUCUAUGCGCUCUUUAGGCCGGCCGGCGGGAGGCAGCGGCAAGAGGCGCUUUUCCGGAGCGCCCGCUCGGCAGCAAGGCCUCGGACGGAGGCGAAAUAAAUAAUGCACGAAAAAGGAAAACAGACCUUUCAGACCAACGUCUUGGCGACCUUCUUCAUGUCAGAGCCCCAGGACGCGAUAGAUACUCUUCUCCGUAGGACUCUAGGGAUCCGGAUCCGCCCCUCCACUGCACUGGGGAUGGAACUCAGUACCUUCUGCUUGGGAGGCAGGCGCGUUGCCACUGAGCUAAAUGCCUGGCCCUGCAUUAUCUAAUCUGGUCUUCAGCAUUCCUAUACUGGACCUCUAUGUACCAAUGCACCUCUUGAGAGUCACCUGGCCCUCAUCUUCCUGGCCCAUCCAACACUGCAGAAUGUCACAGCCUCCCUUAGGGUGAAGACAAGCUCCAUUGCAGAUCUCUCAUGCCACAGUAGGACCCAGGGAUGUGCUGGCUCCUCUCGCCCUUUCUGGGUAUAGAUGGUGACCCACACACUGUCACACAGGAUCUGCUUACAGAGGCCACUUGGCAGCUCUACUCAGAAAUGGAAAGGAGUUAAACUUUGGGGGAAAACUUUGGCCAAUGAAAGGCAGGAGAUGAAAGGAACCCAGCAUACGGAUUCCAGUGGUUCCAGUUGACCUGUCAGGAGGUGUCCAGUAGGUGAUUAAGCAACUGGCAAUGUUUUCUCCAGAUAUGUGGCCAGCUUGAUAAUUCACAACUUUGUAUUUGCUCCCCGCCUUACUACCACUUUUCCCUUGUUUUUCUUACCCUAGGAUUUUAUCC